AGUGAACGCUGGCGGUAGGCCUAACACAUGCAAGUCGAACGGCAGCACAGUAAGAGCUUGCUCUUACGGGUGGCGAGUGGCGGACGGGUGAGGAAUACAUCGGAAUCUACUUUUUCGUGGGGGAUAACGUAGGGAAACUUACGCUAAUACCGCAUACGACCUACGGGUGAAAGCAGGGGAUCUUCGGACCUUGCGCGAUUGAAUGAGCCGAUGUCGGAUUAGCUAGUUGGCGGGGUAAAGGCCCGCCAAGGCGACGAUCCGUAGCUGGUCUGAGAGGAUGAUCAGCCACACUGGAACUGAGACACGGGCCAGACUCCUACGGGAGGCAGCAGUGGGGAAUAUUGGACAAUGGGCGCAAGCCUGAUCCAGCCAUACCGCGUGGGUGAAGAAGGCCUUCGGGUUGUAAAGCCCUUUUGUUGGGAAAGAAAAGCAGCAGGUUAAUACCCCGCUGUUCUGACGGUACCCAAAGAAUAAGCACCGGCUAACUUCGUG
rnacentral:rRNA from 1 species